GCCGGGUUUGGUGGCACACGCCUGUAAUCCCAGUAGCUUGGGAGGCUGAGGCAAGAGGAUUGUGAGUUCAAAGCCAGCCUCAGCAACUCAGCACGACCCUGUCUCUA
rnacentral:sRNA from 1 species